rnacentral:rRNA from 1 species
CUGCCCACGGGAGGCAGCAGUGGGGGAUAUUGCACAAUGGGGGAAACCCUGAUGCAGCGACGCCGCGUGGGUGAAGAAGCGCCUCGGCGCGUAAAGCCCUGUCAGCAGGGAAGAAAAUGACGGUACCUGAAGAAGAAGCCCCGGCUAACUACGUGCCAGCAGCCGCGGUAAUACGUAGGGGGCAAGCGCUAUCCGGAUUUACUGGGUGUAAAGGGGGCGCAGACGGCGAUGCAAGCCAGGAGUGAAAGCCCGGGGCCCAACCCCGGGACUGCUCUCGGAACUGCGUGGCGAGAGUGCAG